GGGCGGCCCCAGAGCCGGAGGGGCCCGGCCGGUGGCAUCCCCAGAGCCCGCGGGGCCCCGCCGGUGGCAGCCCCAGAGCCCGAGGGGCUCAGCCGUGCCGGCUCCAGAGCCCGAGGGCCCCCGCCCGCCCCGCGGCCCGGCCCGACCCGAGGCUGCGCCCUGCGCUCUCCUGCUGAAGCUGGACAGUCCCUGCGCCGCCGAGCUGGAAAUGAAUUGAAGGAAAGGAAGAAGUAGUCCCCUGUGGUCUGCCCCAAACCACUGCCUCAUACACUUGUUUCUCAGGCGCCUGUAGCUGGCCACUGCUGCUGCUGCAGCCAGCACACACCCCAGAAACAACGGCAUUGGGAUCCAGAUUUUGCAGCAUGGGUUGAGAUCCCGGAUCUGCUGGGCAGGAUGCUCUCCCAUUCCGUGUUGGGAUGCUCUCCCACUCCCAAACGUGCUGCCAGGGCUCCAAGAGCACAGUUUGCCUGGAAUGAUUGUCAUCCACAGCAGCAUUGUGGCUGGGCCUGAAGUUGGAGCCAGCUGAGGCACUUGGCUGAGAUGCACGGACGUGGAGCUGGGUGCUCACACCUUUCCAAAGAGCUGCGGCACUGUGUCCUGAUGUUGGCAUAGGCUGGCAUUAUGCUUGAUGAAUUCAGAGGAUGUUUUUACACAGUUGUGUCUGGGAAGGAUUGAAGAGGGUUUCUUCAUCUUUUUAAACAAUAGGUAACAGCAAAAUCCAUCCCCUGCCUCUUUUAAAGGCAGCUCCUUUUCCUGAUGGUUUGAUAGAUAUAAUGAGAUUCUCAAACUCGUAAAUCUGCUGCGACUUUAUUGCCCGCAUCUGUUGGAGAUGAUGUGAAGAGAACUUCAUACAGAGAGGACUCUUGAAAGGUUACAAAGGGAACCAGCAGACUUCAGAAAAUCUUCAUCUAGAGAAAACAGCCAAGAAAACCCAUGCAGAAGAAAACACUUGAGCUGGAUGAAUAGGUGUCAGGGAUGAAUGGAAGUGACACUGGCAAAGGGGCACCUUGUUGUGAAAGCAAACUGAAGCUAGUCCCCCGUGUGGGGCAGCUCUGGUGCAGGAGCCAGCCUGUGGCUGCUGUGCACAGCCCCCAGCCCAGCAAGGGGUCCUGUGCAGGGUGGCUAUUUCUCAGCUGGGACAGCUUGCUCAAUGUGGCCAUGGCCAGGAGAGUGGAAGGAAAAUGAGAUGUCCCAGCCUGUGCCUUGCCCCAGGACGAGUGGUCAGGGAGCUGUGAUUGCCAGGCAGGGGACUGCAAAUAGUGAAAAUGGGCUGGAGAUGGUACCAGAUGGUGCAGCCUGCUCCCAGAGCACAAGCUGUCGCGCAAGGUCAUGUCUGUAGUGUGAUGCAACAAUGUCCUCAUGAUGUCAUAAUGCAAGCUGGCAGCUAUUUUAGUGGCAGAGAGUUAGACUUAAACCUUUCUCUUCCCAUUGUAAGGGGCAAGAUGUGUUUACUGGUUUUCCUGCCCCAGGUAGCCCCUGCUCCUGCACCCUUGCUGAGACAAGAAAGCAAUCCCGAAAGCAGAACUGCAAGUGAAGAGAGAGCAGAUGACAUCUUUAAGCUGUGAUCAUUGAAGAAUAUUAACUGCUCUUGGGCUUUCUGACUGCCAAAAAGUGAUGCUUGAGCAAUGUGGCGCCAGGAAUCCUGAAGUCACUUUUGUAGCAUUGGAAAAUGCAGCUGCUUUGGGAUUUCAGCCCAAGACGGCUGUUAUUAUCCACUGUGCAGAAUGAAGCUUCUGUUGGGAGCUUUUACAAAGGCCAUCAGUCUUCCCAAAUAGUGGUUGUUUUUAUCACCUGGCAGUAAUGAUACUCUCUGGUCCCUUUAAUAUCUGAGUGUGUUCCCAAAGUGAGACCAGGAAACUCAUUUAGGGCUUGCCCCCUCCAAGGGAAACAGCUUACAAUUUUCUGCCAGGUAGCCCUACCGUUGUGAGAAUGGGCACGGCUCACCUAAUAAAAACCUUGCUGACAGACACGACCUCCUGGAGGUUUAUCUGAGUCGUUUGCUGUGGAGCAGAGCAACAUAUAUCAGGGCUGAAAUAGGUGCCAAGCAGCAAUCCUAAUGCACGCCGUGGCUGCUGUAAUUGAUUCGCAGGCAGGACAAAUACCCGGUGGAGAGUGCAAGGGGCCCUGCCUACUCUCCCAGCUAAAAUGUUAUAACGCUGUGUGAAAUCGUAUUGCUGAAGCCUGUGGCUAAAAUCCAUCUUGUGGGCUGGCUGGCUGUAAAGCUGCAUCAUCCAAAAUAUCCCCUUUCCUGCACGCACUGGCUGGGGCACUUGGG